ACAUCACUGUACAUGUCAUAGUGCUUAGUCUACAGUAAAUGCUGAGUGAAUGAAUUCAGUGUUUGGCUGAGCUGAACAGAGUCGGCUGCUGAUGUUCAUGCUUCUGUCUUAGAUCCUGAAAUUUAAGAUGUUUUGGAAGAGAAGGAGAAUAAUCACAUACAACAUCAUAGUAAGAUGGCUCAGCAAGUAAAGGUGCUUACUGUCAACACUGAUGACCUGAGUUUGUUUCCUGGAACCCACAUAGUAGAAGGAAAGAACCAACUCCUGCAAGUUGUUCUGGUUCCCACACCUGCACAGUGGCUUAUGCUCGAGGUUUUGAAAUUGUUUUGUUCAUUAUCUGUAGUAUCUCCUUUUUUGCCACUAGAAGAAAUAGCAACAGAAUGAAAAUUGUAACUCCAUCAAACAAAUGUUUGCUACAUGUGGAGAUCAGAGGACAACGCUGGAAUCUAUUAUUUCUUGCCACACUGUGCAUUCCUGGGAUCAAACUUAGGUCAUCAGGUCUCUACACACUGCACCGAACCAUCUACUCUGAUAUGCCAUAAACAGAGGUGCUUAGUUAAAAGGCAUGGAUAUUUAUACUUGCUCAAACUGUCAAGCUACCUUCCAAAGCUACCC